UACGUAGGGUGCAAGCGUUGUCCGGAAUUAUUGGGCGUAAAGAGCUCGUAGGCGGUUCGUCGCGUCGGCUGUGAAAACCCGGAGCUCAACUCCGGGCCUGCAGUCGAUACGGGCGGACUUGAGUGUUGCAGGGGAGACUGGAAUUCCUGGUGUAGCGGUGAAAUGCGCAGAUAUCAGGAGGAACACCGGUGGCGAAGGCGGGUCUCUGGGCAAUGACCGACGCUGAGGCGCGAAGGCGUGGGAAGCAAACAGG
rnacentral:rRNA from 1 species